rnacentral:rRNA from 1 species
AUGCAAGUCGAACGAUGAACCACUUCGGUGGGGAUUAGUGGCGAACGGGUGAGUAACACGUGGGCAAUCUGCCCUGCACUCUGGGACAAGCCCUGGAAACGGGGUCUAAUACCGGAUACUGACCCUCGCAGGCAUCUGCGAGGUUCGAAAGCUCCGGCGGUGCAGGAUGAGCCCGCGGCCUAUCAGCUUGUUGGUGAGGUAAUGGCUCACCAAGGCGACGACGGGUAGCCGGCCUGAGAGGGCGACCGGCCACACUGGGACUGAGACACGGCCCAGACUCCUACGGGAGGCAGCAGUGGGGAAUAUUGCACAAUGGGCGAAAGCCUGAUGCAGCGACGCCGCGUGAGGGAUGACGGCCUUCGGGUUGUAAACCUCUUUCAGCAGGGAAGAAGCGAAAGUGACGGUACCUGCAGAAGAAGCGCCGGCUAACUACGUGCCAGCAGCCG